GAUUCAGGGAGGAGCUGGGCUGUUACUGAACUAUAGAAGAGAGAGAAACUUCAAACCACAAACAUUACCUUCAUUCAACAUGCUGUCACUGGACUAUUAUGGACUUUCUCUGAUGGUUGUCACUCUUCUAACAGGUGUCAGCUGUGAAGAUCUCAGUCCAGUCAAAGAUGAACAGUCCAGUUUAGAAGACAGCUCUGUUACUCUGUCCUACAGAUACAGCAAGAAAGCUGCAGCUGAUGAUUACUUCUUCUGGUAUCGACAAGAUCCAGGAAAGCCACCAGAGUUCCUCAUCUCUCACUCAGGAACAGGAAGAAUAUUAAUGAGUCCAAAGUCUGGACUGUCUGUUACAGUGAGUGAGGAAAACACUCACAUGAAUGUUCAGAUCUCCUCUGCUGCAGUGACAGACUCUGCUCUGUACUACUGUGCUGUGAGGCCCACAGUGACAGCAAACCCACAGUCUCUGUACAAAAACACAAGCUGA